rnacentral:rRNA from 1 species
AUUGAACGCUGGCGGCAGGCCUAACACAUGCAAGUCGAACGAGUGGCGGACGGGUGAGUAAUGUCUGGGAAACUGCCCGAUGGCGGGGGAUAACUACUGGAAACGGUAGCUAAUACCGCAUACCAUCGGAUGUGCCCAGAUGGGAUUAGCUAGUAGGUGGGGUAACGGCUCACCUAGGCGACGAUCCCUAGCUGGUCUGAGAGGAUGACCAGGCACACUGGAACUGAGACGCGGGCCAGACGCCUACGGGAGGCAGCAGUGGGGAAUAUUGCGCAAUGGGCGCAAGCCUGAUGCAGCCAUGCCGCGUGUAUGAAGAAGGCCUUCGGGUUGUAAAGUACUUUGAGCAAGGAAGCGUUACUCGCAGAAGAAGCACCGGCUAACUCCGUGCCAGCAGCCGCGGUAAUAC